rnacentral:rRNA from 1 species
GAUGAACGCUAGCUACAGGCUUAACACAUGCAAGUCGAGGGGCAGCACAGUGUAGCAAUACAUGGGUGGCGACCGGCGCACGGGUGCAUAACGCGUAUCCAACCUUCCCGAUACUCUUGGAUAGCCUUCCGAAAGGGAGAUUAAUUCAAGAUGGUGUUUCAAUUCCGCAUGUUAUUGAAACUAAAGAUUUAUCGCUAUCGUAUGGGGAUGCGUGACAUUAGAUAGUAGGCGGGGUAACGGCCCACCUAGUCUACGAUGUCUAGGGGUUCUGAGAGGACGGUCCCCCACACUGGAACUGAGACACGGUCCAGACUCCUACGGGAGGCAGCAGUGAGGAAUAUUGGUCAAUGGUCGGAAGACUGAACCAGCCAAGUAGCGUGAAGGAUGAAGGUUCUAUGGAUUGUAAACUUCUUUUAUACGGGAAUAAAACCUCCCACGUGUGGGAGCUUGUAUGUACCGUAUGAAUAAGCAUCGGCUAACUCCGUGCCAGCCGCCGCCGUAAUAC